rnacentral:lncRNA from 1 species
AUGACAAACACAAAGGGAAAGAGGAGAGGCUCCUGGUAGAUGUCUUCUAGGCCUUUUAGGAAGCAUGGAGUUGUUCCCUUUGGUCACGUAUAUGUGAAUCUAUAAGAAAGAUGAUAUUGUAGACAUUAAAGGAGUGGGCACUGUUCAAGAAGGAAUGCCCCACAAGUGUUAUCAUGGCAGAACUGGAAGAGUCUACAGUGUUACGCAGCAGGCCGUCGGCAUUGUUGUAAACACACAAGUUAAGGGCAAGUUCUUGCCAAGAGAAUUCAUGUGGGUAUUGAGCACUUUAAGCGCUCUGAGAGCUGAGCUAGCUUCCUGAAACUUGUGAAGGAAAAUGAUCAGAAAAAGAAGGAAGCCAAAGAGAAAGGUACCUGGAUUCAGCAGAAGUGCCAGUCUGCUCUGCCCAGAGAAGCGCACUGUGUGAGAACAAAUGGGA